GAUUCUCCUGCCUCAGCCUCCCAAGUAGCUGGAAUUACAGCUGAGUACACCUUCUCUUUCAUUUAUUCAUGCACUGCAUGAAGGAUGGAAGCAGGAUGAAUAAAUCACAGAGCAUUGCCCCUCUCCCCACUCAGGGUCUGUGAAGAGAGCUGGAGCAGAAUACAGUCCAGGCAUUAUGUCAACUUUCAGGGGACCUGGGGCAGGUGGCCGAUUCUCACAGAGACCCCACUUCCCUUUCCUGUGAAAAAUACCACAGCCCAACAGCCACUGGAGAACAGUGUUCUUCUGGAAGCUUCCUCUGGGCAGGAGGAGUCAAAGAUCCUGGUCCUCAGGGACACUUGAGAUGGGUGUGCCCAAAGCUGUGCAGGAUGGUUUGGUUUGUUUUGUUUUUCUUUGCCUCAGGAAGAAUGUGUUCACAAACCUCAGGACAAAUCGUUUAAAAAAGUGUCCUGACAGUUGUCAUGCUUCAUCACUUGAUUUAGAGGCAAUAGGACAGCCUUAUUUUCUUCUAAUCUCUGGUGGUUGAGGAGUCUGGUUGGCCUGGCAGAAGGCUGAGAUUGGCUGAGGGAGUCAUGAGCGAGCAGGGGCCUCUGGUGCCUGAAGCGCCCCUCAGGAAGAGCGGGUCUCACCGGAAGGCCACACUCAUCUCCUUCCUGGUUACCCAGUGUGGGGAUUUGCUACUUUGCUGAGUGUGUUUUGUCUACAUUCAUGGUGCUCCAGAACUGUGUCUGUGUUUCUCACAUUCUCUUUCGUGUCUGCCAGAGCAACAUUCUCAGCAAACCAUCUGAAUGCAACUCCUGUGAUCACAAAAGUCAAUCACUGAUGGAAAUGAAGACCACGACCCUGAUUCCUCAGGUGCCGGAUUGAUGGAACCUCAAAUGUGUAAAGUCUUGCACAGGAAACCCCCCAGCAUGGCCAUUCAGAGGCUCUCAACUCCUGCUGGACCCAAACACAAGAAACCAGGAGGCCCAGACCCCGUCUCUCAUUUUGCACCUCAGUAAACAGUACCUCGAAAGAGAACUCCAUUUUCUUUUCUUAACGUUCUUCAGCUAAAACAAGAGUGUAGGGAAGGGGCUACUUGGAAAAGAGAUUCUCUAAAUUGCCUGAAAAAUCGAUCACAACCCAAGAACCAAGUAUUUUGAAACACAGCAUAUUUAGGAAGUUUGAGGAAGCUUUAAAAUAUCUCCAGAAGGUUUGUGUUUAGCCCAGCACGAUGUCUGUCUUGUGACCCAAAGGUUUAUCUUCCGAACCUUACUUGAGCAACUUCAUUAAUAAAAACAUUUUUGAGAAUGCACAUCUAACACGUAUAUACUUAUUAUAACUUUUGUACACAUACUGUUGAACUAAUAUGUUCUGUUUUUUUAAACAGAUACAUAUUAAAUAUGUAUUUUUACAUAUUAACAUUAAACAAAUACAUUAACAUUAAACAAUGUAUUAACAUUAAACAAAUACAUAUUAAAUAUGUAUUUUUAAAAACACAUAUCUAAACACAAAUUUAAAAAUUGA
rnacentral:lncRNA from 1 species